rnacentral:rRNA from 1 species
GAUGAACGCUGGCGGCGUGCCUAAUACAUGCAAGUCGAGCGAACGGACGAGAAGCUUGCUUCUCUGAUGUUAGCGGCGGACGGGUGAGUAACACGUGGAUAACCUACCUAUAAGACUGGGAUAACUUCGGGAAACCGGAGCUAAUACCGGAUAAUAUUUUGAACCGCAUGGUUCAAAAGUGAAAGACGGUCUUGCUGUCACUUAUAGAUGGAUCCGCGCUGCAUUAGCUAGUUGGUAAGGUAACGGCUUACCAAGGCAACGAUGCAUAGCCGACCUGAGAGGGUGAUCAGCCACACUGGAACUGAGACACGGUCCAGACUCCUACGGGAGGCAGCAGUAGGGAAUAUUCCGCAAUGGGCGAAAGCCUGACGGAGCAACGCCGCGUGAGUGAUGAAGGUCUUCGGAUCGUAAAGCUCUGUUAUUAGGGAAGAACAUAUGUGUAAGUAUCUGUGCACAUCUUGACGGUACCUAAUCAGAAAGCCCCGGCUAACUACGUG